AGCACUGGAGGCAUCGCCAGGCGCGUGGU
rnacentral:sRNA from 1 species